GUCCAUGGUUUAGUGGUUUGAGUGUUGGACCAGGAAUCUGGGAAACCAGGGUUCAAAUCUCUGCAUGGCCA